rnacentral:rRNA from 1 species
GUUUAAAAAAUAAAAUUUAAUUAUUUUUAUAUAUUUAUUAAGUUAAAAGUAUUUUUAAAGUUAUGUAAAUUGAUUAAGUAAAAAUUUAAAUUAUUUAUAGUAUUUGUAUUGUGAAAGAUUAAUUUAAAAUUUUUAAUUUAUAUUUUGAUUAAUUUGUACCUUUUGUAUCAGGGUUAUAUAAAAUUUGUUGAUGAUUAUUUAAGUUCUCGAAAAAAAUUGAAUUAAUUAAUUGUGAAAUUUAUUGUAAAAUUAAUAUUUUAAACAGUUAAUUUGUAAUUAUAUGUUAUUCAUAAUUUUUAUAUCUAGUUUUUUAAUAAAUAAAUUUAAUUUAGAUUAAGUAUUAAUUAAUUAUUUUUUUUAAAAUUUUUAUUUAUAUUUGAUUUAUAAUUUUAGGGAUAAUCUUGAAAUUAUUAUUUAUAAUUGUGAUUAAAUUUUAUUUAAAUAAAAUUAAUAAUGUUUAUUUUAUAUUAAGGUUUAAUAAUAAAAAUUUAUUAAUGAUUUAUUUAUUAAUGAUUUAAAAUGUUUAUUAAAAAAUUUUAUUAAAUUUAGUUAUAAAAUUUAUAAUGUAUAAAUUAGUAAUUAAUAUAUUUAUGAAUUUAAAUUAAUAAUUUUUAUAUUUUAAAUUAAUGAAUUCGGCAAAAAUAAUUAUUCAUCUGUUUAUUAAAAACAUUGCUUGAUGUUUAUAAUAUUAGGUAAUUUCUGCUCAAUGAGUUUUAUUUAAUAGCUGCAGUAUCUUGACUGUACAAAGGUAGCAUAAUCAUUUGGUUUUUUAUUAAGAUCUGGAAUGAAUGGGAUAAUGAAAUAAUUACUUUAUAAAUUUAAUUUAGUAAAUUUUAAGUUUGAGUAAAAAUUCUUAAAUAUAAUUUUGGGACGAGAAGACCCUAUAGAAUUUUAUAAAUUAAUUUUAUGAUUUAUAUUUUUUAUAAUUUUAUAUUUAUUAGAUUGGGGAAAUUUAAAAAUUUGAUUAAUUUUUUAUAUUUUUAUUCAUUAAUUAUUGUUUGAUUUAUUUAAUUUAUUAAAUUUAAAAUUAAUUACCUUAGGGAUAACAGCAUAAUUAUUUUAGAGAGACCAAAUUGAUAAAAUAGAUUAUGACCUCGAUGUUGAAUUAAGAUAAAUUAUUAAUGUAGAGGUUAAUAAGUUAAGUCUGUUCGACUUUUAAAAUCUUACAUGAUUUGAGUUUAAAUCGGUGUGAGCCAGAUUGGAUUCUAUCUAGAAUUAAUUAAAAUGUUUUUGUACGAAAGGACUUUAUAUUUAUAAUAAUUAUUGUGUAUUGAGUUAAAUUAAUUUAUUA